GUCUAUGGCCAUACCACCCUGAACGCGCCCUAUCUCAUCUGAUCUCGGAAGCUAAGCAGGGUCGGGCCUGGUUAGUAUUUGGAUGGGAAAUAAGAAGCAUAUAAAGGAUAAUUGGACC
ensembl:rRNA 5S_rRNA 5S ribosomal RNA